CAAAUUUUCCUUUACUCUCUCGAAAGGUUACAAAAUUUCUCUUUAUUAUUAUUAUUAUUAUUCUAUCAUCUUCUUCUUAAGUAAAUAAUUAUCAAUUUAUAAAGAGCUCUUACAAAUUCAAAGUGCAAAAACUACAAUUUAAUUAUUUAUAAGAGAACAUGAAUUGUAUUUUGAUUCUAUGUUGUUUAUUAGUUUUUGUGGCAACACAAGUUGUUGGAGAACGUAUUAAAUGUGAAACUCAUGAUGAUUGCCCCAAACAUGCAACUAAGAUUAUAACUGCUUUGUGCUUUGACAAAUAUUGUGUUUAUGGUAUCGAUUUGGAGUACCUAGACUCAUGAGCUACUAAAAUGUCCUGUGGAGAAGAACAAGUUACUGUGCUAGAAUAAAAUAUCGAAUAAAUUGUCAUUUAAUUAUUGUACGAAUACCUAUUAAACUUUUUAUAUGUUUUUCUAUUCCUAGUUUCAUAAACAUUGCAUUUAUGAUUUUCUACUAAAAUAUUAUGAUAAGACAACAAAGAAUACUACUUCUAUUGUCUUAUUCUUUAUUAGUUAAAUAAAUUGUUGUUUUAGUGUUCAA